rnacentral:misc_RNA from 1 species
UUGCAAGUAUAUUACUCAAUCCGUAUUAGCCUUGAAGACAAUAAAGAGUUUAAACUCCCAAACCCAAUGUGAACGUUACCAAACUGUUGCCUCGGCGGGAUCUCUGCCCCGGGUGCGUCGCAGCCCCGGACCAAGGCGCCCGCCGGAGGACCAACCUAAAACUCUUUUUGUAUACCCCCUCGCGGGUUUUUUAUAAUCUGAGCCUUCUCGGCGCCUCUCGUAGGCGUUUCGAAAAUGAAUCAAAACUUUCAACAACGGAUCUCUUGGUUCUGGCAUCGAUGAAGAACGCAGCGAAAUGCGAUAAGUAAUGUGAAUUGCAGAAUUCAAUGAAUCAUCGAAUCUUUGAACGCACAUUGUACCCGCCAGUAUUCUGGCGGGCAUGCCUGUCCUAGCGAUAUUUCAAUCCUAUAAUCCCUCCGGGGGGCAAUAGCCG